UUUUUAUCCUCAGCUAUGUUAAGGAUACUCCUCCUAUAUUUAGAAAAGCGGAUGGCAUUGGCAGAAGAAGUAUCUAUCUGCCUUAAAUGACAGGACAUGUGAUAUUCAAAUGGCUGUGUGCUUUUAUGAGGCGGGGAAGGAUUAUGAUUGGCUAUGUUGGGACCCUUGUGAAGGGGGGGUAAAAAUGGUGAAGAAAUGGAGAUAGAGGUGACAGCUUGGAGGAAGCAUUGAAAGACUCGUCUUCCGCCAAUCUGGUCUUUGAAGCCUUAGUUCCCAGCAAUUGGACAAAUCUCCAUGAUUCUCAUGUUUAUAUGUUUCAAGAAUGCAAUUAGUGUCAUUUUAACCUUUUGUAACAAGUUGCAGUGCAUGGGAGAUUUGCACUUCCAAAGGGAAGCAAGCAAGCAAGCAUCUUUCACUUCCCUUGGUGUCUUAUUUAUUUUGGGUUCAACAGUAGCAAAUGUCUUAAAUAGGAAAAAUGGAAGUUUAAUUUCUAAGUUUGGUCUAUAUUUAUGUCAUCUAUUACUCAACUUGGGAUA